GACGAACGCUGGCGGCGCGCUUAACACAUGCAAGUCGAACGGAAAGGCCUGCUUUCCCUUGUGGAUUGCGGGUACUCGAGUGGCGAACGGGUGAGUAACACGUGAGUGAUCUGCCCCCAACUUGGGUAUAAGCCUGGGAAACUGGGUCUAAUUCCCGAUAGGACUGCAGGGUGGUGCCUGUGGUGGAAAACGAUUUUCUAGUGGUUGGGGAUGAGCUCGCGGCCUAUCAGCUUGUUGGUGGGGUAAUGGCCUACCAAGGCGGCGACGGGUAGCCGGCCUGGGAGGGUGGACGGCAGAGUUGGGACUGAGAUACGGCCCAGACUCCUACGGGAGGCAGCAGUGGGGAAUAUUGCACAAUGGGCGGAAGCCUGAGGCAGCGACGCCGCGUGAGGGAUGACGGCUUUCGGGUUGUAAACUCCUUGCGACCGCGAGGAAGCCACCUGGUUGGAAGGGUAGUGACGGUAGUGGUAGAAGAAGCACCGGCUAACUACGUG
rnacentral:rRNA from 1 species